UACGAGGGGGCAAGCGUUGUUCGGAAUUAUUGGGCGUAAAGGGCGCGUAGGCGGUGCGGUAAGUCUGAUGUGAAAUCUCCGGGCUCAACUCGGAGUCGUGCAUCAGAAACUGCCGUGCUUGAGUGUGGGAGAGGUGAGUGGAAUUCCCGGUGUAGCGGUGAAAUGCGUAGAUAUCUGGAGGAACACCGGUGGCGAAGGCGGCAUUCUGGACCGACAUUGACGCUGAGGAGCGAAAGCCAGGGGAGCAACGGG
rnacentral:rRNA from 1 species